CAGGAUCUUUCUCCGCCUUCAUAACGCUUGGGAAGUACUUUCCUUUGCUGUGCAGCGCUUGAGGGCAGCCCCAAGUCAGACAGACUCUAAGUCGCCAAAUUGACCAGGCUACAAUCCUCCUGCCUCAGCUCCCAGAAUGCUAGGAUUACAGCCAGGUAGAGGUGACGAAAGUGAGAAAACUGUGAGAAUGUCCUUAAAAGCUAGAAUCACCAAAAAAACACA